UUGAACGUAUGUGUAAAUAACUUACGAUCUUCAACAAGCGACGAAUCUGACGUUCAUGUUUAUUUGAUUUAGAUAACCAAGGCACCUUAUCGCGGUUCUUUGCCAGACCGCUUCGAAGACACUGAUUUACAUAAACGAGACCUCCAUGCGACGCAAUUCUGUCGACGCGUUUAAAUUUACAUGAGAAUCAGCGAAUAACCUACCGCAAAUUUUUGAAUCGUCAUCGAUUCGACGUGAGGUGAAAUGCGAGACGAGCGUAUACGUUUCGCUUGCGAUACUGACGAGAUCAAUAGUUUUUUAUACUGUUGUUGAACAAUUUCGUUACGUCAAUCAUUACCGUUGAAUGAGUGUAAUGUAUUUUCUACUACGUUGCGCGUUUCGACAUUCAGCGGCGUUAAUGACACAGUAAUUAUGUUGAAAUUACAAAAUAUAGCGAUUAUGUUAAAUAACAAAAACUUUGGACUGUUUAAACCUUCGUAGAUCACACUAUGACAAGAGAAAGAAGGACAAACUGUUACUCGACGAACUUUCAACGCGGAUGCUCAUCUAGCCACGUUACUUUCACGCGAAAUUUUCCAAGAUUCGAACUCACAGACGGAAAACUACACGAUGAACUACGAAACUGAAAUAUCGGUUGUUUCUUUCGCGCAAAUAUUUCUAUGGAUUGAUCUUCCGACGAAAGGAAGUUGGACGCGACCGCGGUACACGUGAAACUGCCCCGGUGACAUAUUCUAGUCAAACAUUUAAAACUCGAACGUUAUCAGCAGUUCGCGAUUUGCACAGACGGCAGCGAUAGCGCGUUCAGUGUUUCGACCAUGAUUCUCAAAUAUUUAGUUAUGUAACUGGGCUGGCACGAUAAUCAAUGACGAGCUACAGUCGCUUUUCAAUAGUCGUUGUUUAACUUUUGCUCUUGUUGAAACACGUAGAGAGCCGAAGAAGAAACAAUGUACAUUACGUAUUAUUGAUUUUACAUCGGGAAAUGGCGAAAAGAG